rnacentral:rRNA from 1 species
CUACGGGGCGCACCAGUGGGGAAUAUUGGACAAUGGGGGAAACCCUGAUCCAGCAAUGCCGCGUGUGUGAAGAAGGCCUGCGGGUUGUAAAGCACUUUCGGUUGGGAGGACUGCUUCUAGCACUAAUAUUGUUGGAAGUUGACGUUACCUUCAGAAGAAGCACCGGAUAACUCCGUGCCAGCAGGCCGCGGUAAUACGGAGGGUGCAAGCGUUAAUCGGAAUUACUGGGCGUAAAGCGCGCGUAGGCGGCUAGAUCAGUCGGGUGUGAAAGCCCCGGGCUUAACCUGGGAACUGCAUCCGAUACUGUCUAGCUUGAGUACAGGAGAGGAGAGUGGAAUUCCACAUGUAGCGGUGAAAUGCGUAGAUAUGUGGAGGAACACCAAUGGCGAAGGCAGCUCUCUGGCCUGAUACUGACGCUGAGGUGCGAAAGCGUGGGGAGCAAACAGGAUUAGAUACCCGUGUAGUC